rnacentral:rRNA from 1 species
GACGAACGCGGGCGGCGUGCCUAAUACAUGCAAGUCGAACGGUCUUUUCUAUGGAAGCUUGCUUCCGCUGAGAAGAUAGUGGCGAACGGGUGAGUAACACGUGGGUAACCUGCCCAUAAGAGGGGGAUAACAUCCGGAAACGGGUGCUAAUACCGCAUAGUUUUCUUGAUCGCAUGAUUGAGCGAGGAAAGACGGCCUUUGUGCUGUCGCUUAUGGAUGGACCCGCGGCGUAUUAGUUAGUUGGUGAGGUAACGGCUCACCAAGACGAUGAUACGUAGCCGACCUGAGAGGGUGAUCGGCCACAUUGGGACUGAGACACGGCCCAACCUCCUACGGGAGGCAGCAGUAGGGAAUCUUCCGCAAUGGACGAAAGUCUGACGGAGCAACGCCGCGUGAGUGAAGAAGGUUUUCGGAUCGUAAAACUCUGUUGUCAGAGAAGAACAAGUCGGAGAGUAACUGCUCCGGCCUUGACGGUAUCUGACCAGAAAGCCACGGCUAACUACGUGCCAGCCGCCGCAGUAAUAC